rnacentral:rRNA from 1 species
UACAGAGGUCCCAAGCGUUGUUCGGAUUCAUUGGGCGUAAAGGGUGCGUAGGCGGCGCGGUAAGUCGGGUGUGAAAUCUCGGAGCUUAACUCCGAAACUGCAUUCGAUACUGCCGUGCUUGAGGACUGGAGAGGAGACUGGAAUUUACGGUGUAGCGGUGAAAUGCGUAGAUAUCGUAAGGAAGACCAGUGGCGAAGGCGGGGUCUCUGGACAGUUCCUGACGUGAGGCACGAAGGCCAGGGGAGCAAACGGG